rnacentral:misc_RNA from 1 species
GAUGAGAACCCAGCGAAAUGCGAUAAGUAUUGUGAAUUGCAGAAUUCAGUGAAUCAUCGAAUCUUUGAACGCACAUUGCGCCCCUUGGUAUUCCGAGGGGCAUGCCUGUUCGAGCGUCAUUACACCACUCAAGCUAUGCUUGGUAUUGGGCGUCGUCCUUAGUUGGGCGCGCCUUAAAGACCUCGGCGAGGCCACUCCGGCUUUAGGCGUAGUAGAAUUUAUUCGAACGUCUGUCAAAGGAGAGGAACUCUGCCGACUGAAACCUUUAUUUUUCUAGGUUGACCUCGGAUCAGGUAGGGAUACCCGCUGAACUUAAGCAUAUCAAUAAGCGGAGGA